rnacentral:lncRNA from 1 species
UUAUCCUCAGUAUAUUUUGGCUUUUGGUAUCUUUUUUGGUUCCAUAUUAAUUUUAGGAUUUUUUUCUAUUUCUGUGAAGCAUGUCAUUGAUAUUUUGGUAGAGAUUAUAUUAAAUCAUAGACUAACAAAUUAUAUAGUUAAUCAUUUUUUCUACUGAUCCUUAGUAUUUUUGUGGUAUCAGUUGUAAUGUCUCCUUUUACAUUUCUCAAUAUAUGUAUUUGGGUCUUCUCACUUUUUUCUUUAUUAAUCUAGCUGUUAGUCUUUUAAUUUUUUCAGGGUUUUUUUUUUACUAUUUUUAAUGGUCAAUUAUGCUAUGUAUUUCAUCUUCACAUUAUUUCCAGUAUUGGAGGUACAAAUCUGUAGGUUUUUAGAGAGUUCUAAUUCAUUUAUACAUUUUUUGCAACUGUGACUCUAUGAAAAUGCACUAACACAACAUUGACUUUGUGUCUAAGUAAAAACACUGCAAUUUCCUCAGUAAAUGAAUGGAAUGCUUUUGAAAGUUUGACUAUAACGUGCCUUGGAAAAUAAUUUUUUGGGUUGAAUCUAUUUGGACAUCUUUGAGUUUCCUGAGAAACUCUGGGUGUCUAUAUCUGUUAGAAUACUUGGGAAAUUUUCUGUUAUUAUUUUGUUAAAUAGGUUUUCUCUGCCUUUGUCAAUCUCUUCCUCUGGAACUGCCAAAAUUCAGAAAUUUGGUUGCUUUAUGAUGUCCCAUAUGUUACCUAGGCUUU